rnacentral:rRNA from 1 species
UACAUGCAGUCGAACGAUACUCUUUAGCUUGCUAGAGAGGAAAGUGGCGCACGGGUGCGUAACGCGUAUGCAACCUACCUUAAUCAGGGGGAUAGCCCGAAGAAAUUCGGAUUAACACCGCAUAAAAUCACAGUAUAGCAUUAUACAAUGAUCAAAUAUUUAUAGGAUUAAGAUGGGCAUGCGUGACAUUAGUUAGUUGGCGGGGUAACGGCCCACCAAGACCACGAUGUCUAGGGGAUCUGAGAGGAUGACCCCCCACACUGGUACUGAGACACGGACCAGACUCCUACGGGAGGCAGCAGUAAGGAAUAUUGGUCAAUGGAGGCAACUCUGAACCAGCCAUGCCGCGUGCAGGAAGACAGCCCUCUGGGUCGUAAACUGCUUUUAUUCGGGAAUAAACCUACUUACGUGUAAGUAGCUGAAUGUACCGAAGGAAUAAGGAUCGGCUAACUCCGUGCCAGCAGCCGCGGUAAUACGGAGGAUCCAAGCGUUAUCCGGAUUUAUUGGGUUUAAAGGGUGCGUAGGCGGCUUUUUAAGUCAGGGGUGAAAGACGGUGGCUCAACCAUCGCAGUGCCCUUGAUACUGAAGAGCUUGAAUGAAUUAGAGGUAGGCGGAAUGUGACAAGUAGCGGUGAAAUGCAUAGAUAUGUCACAGAACACCGAUUGCGAAGGCAGCUUACUAUGAUUUUAUUGACGCUGAGGCACGAAAGCGUGGGGAUCAAACAGGAUUAGAUACCCUGGUAGUCCACGCCCUAAACGAUGAAUACUCGCUGUUAGCGAUACACAGUUAGCGGCUAAGCGAAAGCGUUAAGUAUUCCACCUGGGGAGUACGGUCGCAAGAUUGAAACUCAAAGGAAUUGACGGGGGCCCGCACAAGCGGAGGAGCAUGUGGUUUAAUUCGAUGAUACGCGAGGAACCUUACCCGGGCUUGAAAGUUAGUGAAUCAUUUAGAGAUAGAUGAGUCCGCAAGGACACGAAACUAGGUGCUGCAUGGCUGUCGUCAGCUCGUGCCGUGAGGUGUUGGGUUAAGUCCCGCAACGAGCGCAACCCCUAUGUUUAGUUGCCAGCACGUUAAGGUGGGGACUCUAAACAGACUGCCUGUGCAAACAGAGAGGAAGGAGGGGACGACGUCAAGUCAUCAUGGCCCUUACGUCCGGGGCUACACACGUGCUACAAUGGAUGGUACAGAGGGCAGCAAGCUGGUAACAGCAAGCAAAUCUCCAAAAGCCAUUCACAGUUCGGAUAGAGGUCUGCAACUCGACCUCUUGAAGUUGGAUUCGCUAGUAAUCGUAUAUCAGCAAUGAUACGGUGAAUACGUUCCCGGGCCUUGUACACACCGCCCGUCAAGCCAUGGAAGUUGGGGGUACCUAAAGUAUGUAACCGCAAGGAGCGUCCUAGG